rfam:Nomascus leucogenys chromosome 8, whole genome shotgun sequence.
UUAAUGGCCCUUUUCAGGGCCACAUACGUUUUCUCCUGAAGGGCU